CAAGUAACCGACUCUACCUGGUCUAAGAACCAAUAAGUAAUGUGCCCUCGGCACAAUCUGACGCCAAAACGGCGAAUCGGGCACACCGUCAACCCCAACGGCGCCCAAAAAUUCGAAACAGGCCAAACUACCCAUGUAAAAAUCCACUCGGCGUACCAACACGAGCGUAAAUGUAUUCUAAACUACUUGGAGUACUCGUCUCGAGGAUACAGCGACAGUACAAUUUUAUAACGGCUCCUAGAGCUAAAUCAGGCAGUUUAACAAGUGGCAGAUCCAAAUCGCAGAUUUUCUCCUAAUUCAAAUUUCAAGUCCAACAUGUAUAAACUACUCAAUUUAUUACCACAUGCUCCAAACUCAGAUUUGCAAUCUACCAAAUAAUCCAUG
rnacentral:lncRNA from 1 species